rnacentral:rRNA from 1 species
UACAGGGGGUGCAAACGUUGCUCGGAAUUAUUGGGCGUAAAGAGCUCGUAGGCGGUUUGUUGCGUCGGCUGUGAAAUCCCGAGGCUCAACCUCGGGUCUGCAGUCGAUACGAGCAAACUAGAGUGUUGCAGGGGAGACUGGAAUUCCUGGUGUAGCGGUGAAAUGCGCAGAUAUCAGGAGGAACACCGGUGGCGAAGGCGGGUCUCUGGGCAACAACUGACGCUGGAGGCGACGAAGGCUAGGGUAGCAAACAGG